GACGUAGGGCGCGAGCGUUGUCCGGAUUUAUUGGGCGUAAAGAGCUCGUAGGCGGCUUGUCGCGUCGACUGUGAAAACCCGCGGCUCAACUGCGGGCCUGCAGCCGAUACGGGCAGGCUAGAGUUCGGUAGGGGAGACUGGAAUUCCUGGUGUAGCGGUGAAAUGCGCAGAUAUCAGGAGGAAUACCCGUGGCGAAGGCGGCCCCCUGGGCCGAACCUGACGCUGAGGCGCGAAGGCUAGGGGAGCGAACGGG
rnacentral:rRNA from 1 species